AGGGAGAGUUAGAAUUCAAACCCAGGUAACCUGGCUCUAAGAUCUAAAAAAGGCUCAGCUUUAAUACACUGCCACUGGAUUACAAUGCUUCU